rnacentral:rRNA from 1 species
GAUGAACGCUGGCGGCGUGCCUAAUACAUGCAAGUCGAGCGAACAGACGAGGAGCUUGCUCCUCUGACGUUAGCGGCGGACGGGUGAGUAACACGUGGAUAACCUACCUAUAAGACUGGGAUAACUUCGGGAAACCGGAGCUAAUACCGGAUAAUAUAUUGAACCGCAUGGUUCAAUAGUGAAAGACGGUUUUGCUGUCACUUAUAGAUGGAUCCGCGCCGCAUUAGCUAGUUGGUAAGGUAACGGCUUACCAAGGCAACGAUGCGUAGCCGACCUGAGCGGGUGGUCCGACACACGGUAACAGAGACACGGUACAGACUCCUACGGUGGGCAGCAGUAGGGAAUCUUACGCGAGGGGGGAGAGCCUGACGGAGCAACACCGCGUGAGUGAUGAAGGUCUUCGGAUCGUAGAACGCUGUUAUUAGGAAGGAACAAAUGCGUAAGUAACUAUGCACGUCUUGACGGUACCUAAUCAAAAAGCCACGGCUAACUACGUG